rnacentral:rRNA from 1 species
AUAUCAAUAAGCGGAGGAAAAGAAACUAACAAGGAUUCCCCUAGUAACUGCGAGUGAGGCGGGAAAAGCUCAAAUUUAAAAUCUGAUGGCCUUCAGCCAUCCGAGUUGUAAUUUAGAGAAGCGUCUUCCGCGCUGGACCGUGCAUAAGUCUCCUGGAAUGGAGCGUCAUAGAGGGUAAGAAUCCCGUCUUUGACACGGACUGCCAGGCUUUGUGAUGCGCUCUCGAAGAGUCGAGUUGUUUGGGAAUGCAGCUCAAAAUGGGUGGUAAAUUUCAUCUAAAGCUAAAUAUUGGCCAGAGACCGAUAGCGCACAAUA